GAUUCCUAUCCGAGGAUGAUAGCAGGUUCCAGCUCUGGUUCGACUAUAGAGUCGAAGAAUUGUUCUAGACCAUUCAAAGAAAAAGUGCUACUUACAAUUACAUAAAUUUAAAAAAAAUUUUAAUUCUUUCAUGGUUAACAGUAUGUUGUUUUGUUCAAAUAUGUUAGUAAAAGUGAAAGUACCUACGCAUAUUUUUAUGGAAAAAAAAUGCAGUUCGUUGAUGGUAAGAUUAAUAAAUAAUGCUGAUCUCAUUGCAUCUGGAAAACUGGUGUAGCCUUGGCUGAAUUUCCUUUUCUGGUUGCGAAUAAAAAUGCGAACUCAAAACGAGGAAAAUAUGUAACUUGACGACAAUUUCUUCGUGAACAAUUUGGAUUCUCCGAAGAUGAUCGAGAGCAGUGAGCACUUCGUGACCACGGUUCAUCGAAAAUAAUCGUGAAGGUUUUCAACGGUAUUCGAAUGUUACGAAUUGUUACUAACCAUGGAGCUAUUGCUUUGUCAUCAAAUUCAGCUGAACCCGAAUAUGAAACGAAGUGUAUUUAUGAAAAUCAUCGAAUAGUUUGUAUAACAACCUUGAUUUGGAAGAACCGAAUAAUAGGUAUAUUAUUACUUAAUAAGUACUUACUCUAACGUACCUAUUCCUCUAUUUUGCACCUUUAUAUUUUUAUGUAGUUCGGCAGGUAGAUAGGUAUUAGUUAAUUAUUAUCUGAACCUAUAUCUAAUUUAGGCUAAAUAUUAAGUAAGUAAUUCCCAUAAAAUUAUUGGGAUUUAUUUUCAGUGAAAAUUAGUAAAAGAAAGAUGCAUAUCGUAUAAACAAGUAUUACACACUUACAAAGUUUUCACCUAAGUAUGUUUAUACCCAAAAGUAUGCGUAUUGUUGAUACUUGCGGCUGAAGUAUUUUUUCCUCAUUAUGACGAAUAAGCAAUAUUAGGCAAAUCCUGCCAGUUACCUACUCGAAUAUUUUGAUAGUUUUCCUCAUAAACAGGAUACCUCGUCAAUAAAUUCAUUUUAAAGUAAUACAAGUAUCAAUUUAAAUAAUAUUCCAUUUCCAAUCAA